GUCUAUGGCCAUGCCACCCUGAACAAGCCCGAUCUCAUCUGAUCUCGGAAGCUAUGCAGGGUCAGGCUUGGUUAGUACUUGGAUGGGAGACCACCUAGGAAUACCAGGUGCUGUAGGCA
rnacentral:rRNA from 1 species